GUUUCAGGCCAGCAGAGCUGGGAAACACUGGGUUGCUCAUCCUUGACUCUUUGCAGUAUCUCAGUGCUGGAGCUGGUGACCAAAGGCAGUGAACAGUUUGAUCUGAUUGAAACUCACUGCUCAUGCCAAAAGUCCCAGCAGAAAUACAUUGACCUCUGUAGUGAGGAGCUGGAUCUGCUGGUGUCGGCCCCUGCGAUGAGUGUGUGUCAAGGAGGAAGACUCUGCAGAUAAAUCUGAGUGCAGCUCUACAGCACUGCAAGCACUCACUGAGAGCACCUGGGAGUGACAAACUGCUGCUGUGUAAGGCUGGCCAGGAAGAGAAUGAUGCCCUUCAGAGAGGAGAAGUAAUAAAAGUUUUGAAAGAAAAGGUUCAGGUGGGACAGUUUGUCAGAGCUUGGGAGUAGAAACCAAAUCUACCUUUCACAUGGGGAUUCUCUUCAAAAUUAUUCUGGCUUGCACUGGUUUGUUUUACAUGAAUGGAGGAUGCUUCGACUUUACAAAUUAAUUUUUACCUCUGUGACCUUGGGUUGUGUGCUUACAACUGAACUUACAGCAGUGUUUUUGCUUGUGUUUGAGGAUCAUGGCUCCAGGGUGCCAGGCACUGCAGGAUAAGCCCCAUCAGCAAAAUGCUACAGGAAAAACCAGCUGCCUUAGCUGGCAGCUGCUGGGGGAGCUACCUAUGGACUACAUGUGAAGGAGAAGCAGCCAAGCCAUCAGGCUCAUUUUGUAG